CUGCUGUAAAGCACUUCCUGGAUGUGCCUUGAUGAUGCACAGUCUGUGUGGGGCGAUGAGGAUGGCAACGGUAUUGUGCCAGGCAUCAACCAGGACUCUUCACAUUCACCAACAGACAUCCUAGGUAGAGCAUACACCAUCUGUUUGCGAUUGUGGACUGAUUCAAGCCUUGUUGUCAUCAACUUGGUUAUAUUUCUUCUUUCUCUGUGUUGCAAAACAAAUGUCUCAACUCAGGCUCUGCUUCAUAUGUACCAGAGGAUUGUUGCCUGCUCAGUAUGAAUGCAACAGAAGCUUCAUGGUUGUCAGCGAGUUGCCAAGUCUUUAGUAUGUGAGAUUGCUAGUGUGUAUAUGUGAUACAUUAAGGCAUCUUCAAAUGCACACUUCAAGUAUAUGGGCCUAUGGCCUUUCAUACAAUAAGCAUGAAUUUGAAUUUGAAA